UACGAAGGGGGCUAGCGUUGCUCGGAAUCACUGGGCGUAAAGGGUGCGUAGGCGGGUCUUUAAGUCAGGGGGGAAAUCCUGGAGCUCAACUCCAGAACUGCCUUUGAUACUGAAGAUCUUGAGUUCGGGAGAGGUGAGUGGAAUUCCGAGUGUAGAGGUGAAAUUCGUAGAUAUUCGGAAGAACACCAGUGGCGAAGGCGGCUCACUGGCUCGAUACUGACGCUGAGGUGCGAAAGCGUGGGGAGCAAACAGG
rnacentral:rRNA from 1 species